AUACAGUACUAGCCCCUCCCUCUCUCUGUCUCCUCCUCCAUACAGUACUAGCCCCUCCCUCUCUCUGACCCCUCCUCCUCCAUACAGUACUAGCCCCUCCCUCUCUCUGUCUCCUCCACCAUACAGUACUAUCUCCUCCACCAUACAGUACUAGCCCCUCCCUCUCUCUGUCUCUUCCUCCACCAUACAGUACUAUCCCCUCUCUCUGACCCCUCCUCCAUACAGUACUAUCCCCUCUCUCUGACCCCUCCAUACAGUAUUAGCCCCUCCCUCUCUCUGACCCCUCCUCCUCCAUACAGCACUAGCCCCUCCCUCUGUGACCCCUCCUCCUCCAUACAGUACUAGCCCUUCCCUCUCUCUGACCAUCCUCCUCCAUACAGUACUAGCCCCUCCCUCUCUGACCCCUCCUCCUCCAUACAGUACUAUCCCCUCCACCAUACAGUACUAUCCCCUCUGUCUGACCCCUCCUCCUCCUCCAUACAGUACUAUGCUCUUUUGCUGACCAAGGAUUUGUUAGAUAAGAUAACAUUUUUAUAGUUUGUAUUAUUUAGUCUCUUGUCUGUUCUGCCUUGCACCGCUCUGUGUAAACUAAAGGGAGGUACUUGCGUGCCUUGGGUUGCUUUAUGUUGUUGUCACGACUACGGCUUCUCUCUCAGAGAUGGAACCUUAUGGUUUAGACCACUCCUUGUUGGAAGUAGACCUGUGGUUAUUACCAAGGCUCUGCGUUUAUACCACCUUUCCACCUGUUUGUUAGAUGUCGUUCCAUGUAAUGGUAACGGUAUCUUUGUUAUUGUGAUGUAUUGUUAGCCAGGGCAGAACAGGCCAAAUUUAGCCUCUUAUUUAAACUAACUUAUCAAUUCCAUGAUGAUGAAAACAUGUUGCUGUUUUCUUCGUCAUUAUGAAUAUGCAGAUAUAUGACAGGAACAUGCAUGGGGGUUGUUAACGCUAACGAGAAUCGAUGUCCCUUCCUCUUCACUGAGCUACGACUUGUUUUUCUAAAAACGAGGCCGCUUCCUGAAAGGCACUCUCUCUUCCUUAUAACGGAGAAUUCAUUUUGACUGGGUGCCAUAGGAUUCCCACAGGGCUCUGGUCGACAGGAGAGUGCACUAUGUAGGGAAUAGGGUGCCAUUUGGGACAGUCCCCUGAGCUGCCUCAGUCUCUGGCAAUUGGAGCUUGGCGUCUCUCACUAUUAAUAUACACACACACUAUUUUUUUU